rnacentral:lncRNA from 1 species
AUGACAUGGUGUUGGGAACAAGAGCCAUGCAGAAUUCUGCGCCUGGGAACGACAUUGCUACAGCAGUCCUGCUUGCACAACAGAGGUGACUUUGGGGUCCCUGGAGCUGCUUCCCUGGCCAAGCUGCGGAGAGGCUGUGAGCCCCUUUGGAAGCCAGGGGGCGUCCCUCCUGCUCACGGCCCGAUGGCUGCAGCCCAGCCCAAGCCCACCCAGCUACAGGGGAGCCCGGAUGGGUCCAGGUGUGCCCAGGAACAAGGGAAGGGACAAGAGUUCAAAGCAGACAGCAGCAUCCACCUGCACUCAUAGUUAACAGUUGACUAUUUUGACACUUGAGAAUGUUUUCUAGAAUAAAAAGGAGUAAGAAAAGGUUGAAUUUGGCAAAGACAUAGGUAUAAAUUCAUGAGAGGACACGGCAGGUCACUUCCACUGCCUUAGAAAUCUGGAAAUGAGGAAAUUCCAAGACCCAUGAGUCUGGCAUUUAUCAACGAUUUUUUCUUUCCAUGACAAAUGUAGAGGUAUAAUUAUUUUGUGAGCACACAGAAAACCAUAACAAUUUUAGACUCGCAAAUUACUAAAAAGUACUGAUCUACGUGGUUCUUUUCAACCAAAAUUAAUGUAAAUAACAUAAAAAUGUUGAAUUAAAGAUUUAUUUUCCAAAAAGGACUUUUGUAGCAGACAUUGUGUAUCUUUGGUGACUUUUAAUUUUUUAAACAAAAUUUCCUCGUUUUCUUCCAAUGUGUUUUUUCCAUUUUUUAAAAUUUUUUGAUCCUCAUACAACUUGCUCUGACCACACUUAUUUUUCUAAAUUCUUUUGUAAUCAAAUGCUGUGUUUUCAUUUUGUACACAAACAAUGUGAGCCUUACCUUGACCAAGAAGCCUAUAGACGAAUGUCCAACGAAUGUCCACCAGAUGGGCUGGUGUCUGGCACUCCCUGCCCAGUUGGUACUUCCUAGAAACGGACUGGGUGGGGGCGAGGUAGGGGAACCAUCUGCCUCACGGUCCUUAGCAUCUAGAAAAGGAGGCGAUUCAAAGGCAGAGGGAAGUAUCCUUCUUAUCGGAGUUGCUUUCAAGUCGAAGGACUUUAGAUGGGAAAUUCCAAUCAGCAGAAGGUAAAUCUAGCUUGUAAGCAUAAUCAUUGCUUUAUUAGUUGAUAAUGCUUUUUAAUCAAUACAUGUUUAGCAUGGAAAACCCAAAAUCAGUUUUUAAACUGCAGCUAUUGACUAUGGAAUUUCCCUUGCAAAUGACUUCUCACCAAAUGAAUAUAUCAUCUAGAGAUGGGACUCUAUUUUAGGGGGUUACUUUCUUUAGAUAGUGGAAUGCCUGGAGACCACAACCAGAUCUGAGAACGUCGUAUCUUGGUUUUAGUGGAGCAGACAGCCAAUUUCUCAGACUUAGGGCUUAAAAAAUGUUGAAAUGUACUCCACAGAAAAAUCUCAAAAGUUAACCAUUCAAACUCACAUUGGCCUAAGAAACAUUUUUAGACAUAAAAGCAACUCUAAAAUUCUGCUUUAUAGGGCUCUUCUGAGAAUACGAUUAUGCAAUCACUAAGUGGAAGUGGCUCUUUGCUAUGGUUUCUGGCUGCCCUGUCUCACCACUGUAGCUUUUGGAUACAAAAUGAGAAUGGCCAGCCUGGAAGGAGUGAUGGC